rnacentral:pre_miRNA from 1 species
AACAGCAACAGUAGAGGCGGCCAGCUCUGGAGCCCUGGAAUCAGCUCCUGCAGUAACUACGGAGAUCUCAGUCUUCAGGGGCCUGGAUGCUCUGGGGGCGG